rnacentral:lncRNA from 7 species
AUCUCUUGGACCUUGGCUGCUUUUUGAGAAGGAGUGCUGUAUAGUGGGAGAGCCCCUUUGCUAGCUGGUAAAAAAUGAAGUCACAACCUGCAAGACAUCUGAGAUUUAUUCUUUUGGUCUUCCAAAGAUGAGAUCAGAGCCAUUACAAUCUAAGGCAAGAGAGGAACAGUUAAGACAGUAACAAUUUUAUGAAGACUGAUUUCCAAGGGUCAAAACCCAAAUCACAGAACCUCUGAGAGUUUUCAGGCCCAUCAGGGUCUGAUCUUUAGGAAGAGACAUGCAACUGAGAAAAGACACAUUCCCUGGUAUCUCUCUUGGCAGAAUCUGAAACUGUGUGGGUUCCAGACUGUCAGGCUUGUCAGCAACGUUGUCAUUCAUGUCUGCUUGCAAUGCAUUGCCUCAUACAAACCAGCUAUGUGCCAGCAGCCUCUUAAGAGAGAAAAGUCUGCCUGCACAUGCCAGUGUGUAGGAAUAUAAGUGUUAUGUCAUCCAGAGUCGUGGGUGAUUCUUUGGGUCCUCCAGCUUUCUAUUCCCAACUGAUUAUGAAAUAGCCCCUUAUGAAACAGGUACACACAAUUGAGCUUUUUGUGUUAGGUAUAUUUCUUCAGCUGUAUACUCAUGGCACAUGUUGAUUUGGUUUAUAGACCCACACUGCAACCCCAGAUUCCCUGAAGCUUCCUCUGAAGCAGUUAUAAUCUGCCUAUUUCUAUAGGACUGCUUGUGUACAGUUUGUUUUCCAGCAUCAUUAAGAAUAUGCUCUCACCUUGAAUAUGCGUAAAAAAUAUUCUGAGGCUGGAGGGUUUCUUUUAGGGGAGAUUGUCUCCUCCUGGGACACAAAUCUUGUAGAUACAGCCUCCUGGCAUUGCACAUGGGGUUGCUCAGGGAUGGCAGGAGGUUCCUUGGGCAGCUGCAUUAUGCUUCCUGCACUGUGGAAGUCCUCAUCCUCAGGCAAGUUCAGAUAGUCUGCAGAGCUACUGUGUGCUCAGAGGCUUGCAAACUGUGUGCACCACUGUGAGAAAGCAAUGGAGAGAGACUGAUCUUGGAAGUAUUCUUUUAAACAAACAAAAUGUGUCAUCAGCUUAAAAAGUUAUCUCAACAUUAGUCAUCUUUCUGCCUUCUUUCAAACUACAAAAUUGGUUG